UGGGGGAUAUUGCACAAUGGGGGAAACCCUGAUGCAGCAACGCCGCGUGAAGGAAGAAGGUCUUCGGAUUGUAAACUUCUGUCCUCAGGGAAGAUAAUGACGGUACCUGAGGAGGAAGCUCCGGCUAACUACGUGCCAGCAGCCGCGGUAAUACGUAGGGAGCGAGCGUUGUCCGGAUUUACUGGGUGUAAAGGGUGCGUAGGCGGAUCUGCAAGUCAGUAGUGAAAUCCCAGGGCUUAACCCUGGAACUGCUAUUGAAACUGUGGGUCUUGAGUGAGGUAGAGGCAGGCGGAAUUCCCGGUGUAGCGGUGAAAUGCGUAGAGAUCGGGAGGAACACCAGUGGCGAAGGCGGCCUGCUGGGCCUUAAACUGACGCUGAGGCACGAAAAGCAUGGGUAGCAAACAGGAUUAGAUACCC
rnacentral:rRNA from 1 species